UACGGAGGGUGCAAGCGUUAAUCGGAAUUACUGGGCGUAAAGCGCGCGUAGGCGGUUUGUUAAGUCGGAUGUGAAAGCCCUGGGCUCAACCUGGGAACUGCAUACGAUACUGGCAAGCUAGAGUGCAAUAGAGGGGGGUAGAAUUCCAGGUGUAGCGGUGAAAUGCGUAGAUAUCUGGAGGAAUACCGGUGGCGAAGGCGGCCCCCUGGAUUGACACUGACGCUGAGGUGCGAAAGCGUGGGUAGCAAACAGGAUUAGAUACCCUGGUAGUCCACGCCGUAAACGAUGUCAACUAGCUGUUGGGGCUCUUGUAGUUCUGGUAGCGCAGCUAACGCACUAAGUUGACCGCCUGGGGAGUACGGCCGCAAGGUUAAA
rnacentral:rRNA from 1 species